GGUGUGUACUGGCUUUACUGAUUCCUCCUUCUUGAAGAACUGUAAUGUCAUUAAUUUGGUGUUGCAGGGAAACAGGACUGUUACUUUGAAAAAAUUAGAGUGUUUAAAGCAGGCUAACGCUUGAAUACAUUAGCAUGGAAUAAUGAAAUAGGACGUUCGAUCCUAUUUUGUUGGUUUCUAGGAUUGACGUAAUGAUUAAUAGGGAUAGUUGGGGGCAUUAGUAUUCAAUUGUCAGAGGUGAAAUUCUUGGAUUUAUUGAAGACUAACUACUGCGAAAGCAUUUGCCAAGGAUGUUUUCAUUAAUCAAGAACGAAAGUUAGGGGAUCGAAGACGAUCAGAUACCGUCGUAGUCUUAACCAUAAACUAUGCCGACUAGGGAUCGGAUGAUGUCAAUUUUUUAAUGAC
rnacentral:rRNA from 1 species